rnacentral:rRNA from 1 species
AUUGAACGCUGGCGGCAUGCCUAACACAUGCAAGUCGAACGAGUGGCGGACGGGUGUGUAAUGUCUGGGACACUGCUUGAUGGAGGGGGAUAACUACUGGAAACGGUAGCUAAUACCGCAUACCAUCGGAUGUGCCCUGAUGGGAUUAGCUAGUAGGUGGGGUAAAGGCUCACCUAGGCGACGAUCCCUAGCUGGUCUGAGAGGAUGACCGGCCACACUGGAACUGAGACACGGUCCAGACUCCUACGGGAGGCAGCAGUAGGGAAUAUUGCGCAAUGGGCGAAAGCCUGAUGCAGCCAUGCCGCGUGUAUGAAGAAGGCCUUCGGGUUGUAAAGUUCUUUCAUCGGGGAGGCGUUACCCGCAGAAGAAGCACCGGCUAACUCCGUGCCAGCCGCCGCGGUAAUUC